UAGGGGAUUUUGCGCAAUGGACGAAAGUCUGACGCAGCAACGCCGCGUGAGGGAUGAAGGCCUUCGGGUUGUAAACCUCUGUUGGAUGGGAAAAAAAGUAGCAAUAUUUGAUGGUACCAUUCGAGUAAGCACCGGCUAACUACGUGCCAGCAGCCGCGGUAAUACGUAGGGUGCAAGCGUUGUUCGGAAUCACUGGGCGUAAAGGGAGUGUAGGCGGGAUCGUAAGUUAGGAGUUUAAUCCACGGGCUCAACUCGUGGUCUGCUUUUAAUACUGCGGUUCUUGAGUAUGGGAGAGGGCGAUGGAAUUCCAGGUGUAGCGGUGGAAUGCGUAGAUAUCUGGAAGAACACCAGUAGCGAAGGCGGUCGCCUGGCCCAAUACUGACGCUGAUACUCGAAAGCUAGGGGAGCAAACAGGAUUAGAUACCCUGGUAGUCCUAGCCGUAAACGAUGAACACUAGUUGCUGGAGGAGUCAAUCUUUUCGGUGACGAAGCUAACGCAUUAAG
rnacentral:rRNA from 1 species